UGCCUGGUGCUGUGAGACAGCAGGGCUGACCACUGCUACCCUUGAGGUUAAAAUCAGAUCAGCCAUGAUUUUAUUCAAUGGCAGGUCAGGCGCAAAAGGCCAAGUGUCCUACUCAUGUUCCUUAUUUGUAUAGAAGCACAUUGAAGGUGACUAUACAAGUCUUAGGUAUUGGAGGUGAGGGGACAGUGGAAUUUCCAGGAACACUUCCACCCAGAAGGACAAGAACAGCAGAUACAUGGGAACAACACCAAAUCCAAGCCACUCCCCCUCCUGCCAGUCCUUCACUGUCGUUGGGUAAUAAUCCAGGAAUUCUCUCCGUAAUGGCAUUGUGGAUCAUAUGGAGCCCACACCGUCAAAGCUGCUGUCCACCUUGUUUCCCCCUUCUUACACUGAUCAGAACCUUGAAGUGGAGAGAGCCUGAGGCCUGUAAUUGAAGACUGCUUGAUGGAGCAGAGAAGAUUAAGAGGUGACCUUAUCAAGCCUACACCCUGAGACGCAGACCGCGAUAACCAACCCAGCUGGUUGGCUCUUUGGCUCCGCCUGAAACCAGUUGGUCUUCCAGUGCCGAGAUUUCUCCUUGAGUGACCGUUGCACCUUCCAUGAUCCAGGAGUCCAUGCUGAGGGAUGCAGCACAACUUGGGGCAGCCACCGCUGAGGCACAGUGGGGAAAGGGUUACUGACUUGGGCUUUUCAGCUCGAGUGCACAGAGGAGGCAGAAAUUGUGAAGAAUCUCUCAGGGAGAGCAUGUUUGACAAAGAAUAUGCAUUCUGAACAUUGAGAUUAUUGAAAUUCAUUGUGACACCUCAGAGAAGAACAUACUGUUUGGAGAAAAGUUUAAUCCUAUUGCACCUUCUGUAAUUAUUCAAUUUGAAAUGUUUUGCCCUCAGGCUGUAUGCCCAGCACAGAAUAUAUAUUGUAAAUAUCAAGAGGAUUGCAAUUGUAAUUGAAGCACCUAACAGCAGAACAUGCUGUAUGGCAACAAGUUACAUUUUAUGACACUUUCUGUAAUUUUCAAGUCAAAUGGUUUGUACUGUACUUUUACAAAUGUUAUGAGUCAGGUUUAUUUCUGAAAACAAAAUAAGGUAGGGUGGACCAUCUAGCUUCAAUAUAGACAU